CCUUGCCCUGGUAUAAUAAUCACCAAAUUAUAUCAUCACACUAGUGAUACAACAUAUUUUCUUUGCUUUCAGAGUGGAUUAUGCAACCUUAUGAUCUUCAGUCACUACGAAGACAAUGCUGUGCUUCCUUCCUGUUAGAUGACGUCACUCUCAAAGCAUACUCCUCCUCCUUCUCCCCCGCCCCCAUACCUAUCACCGAAUCCAUUUCUCUACAGGUUUCAUGGCGGGGUGUGUGUGUGUGUGUGUGUGUGUGUGUGUGUGUGUGUGUGAAUACCCACUUGCUGAACUGCAGCUCUAUUCUAGAUUCUGACCCGAGUUAUCUCUGUUCAAACACUAUUCAAGCUGGGAGGCCCUUCAUUAUCUUCUCUAGAAGAGGAAGCCAGCUGCUUAUCCAGAUAAGCAGGUAUGUGUCCUGCAUGCCCACCUGAGGGAAUGAGCUGUCUCCGGUCUGGAUGCCCAUCUGUGCAUUUGUAAGAUGUAAUUUUUUUACAUCAUCUUCAUCAUUAUUUUAUGUGUGUUUUGCCUUAUGUGUUGUUUACUAUAAACAUGGUGCCUGCAGAGGCCAGAAGGUGUUAGGUUCCCCUGGACCGAGAGCUGUGGGAGCUGCGUAGAUGGCUGUGGGUUGCCAUGAUGGUGCUAGAAGUCAAACCUCGCUCCACUGGAAGAGCUGCCGAGGCUCUUACUCACUGAGCCAUCUCUCCAGCUGCUGUGAAAUUAGUUAGAGAUUUUGACUAGAAAUGAAGGAUUGUAAAUUUGGAUUUUUCCCCUCUUUUAAAUAAAGAUUCAAAUAUUCCAAAGCA